rnacentral:rRNA from 1 species
UACGUAGGGUGCGAGCGUUAAUCGGAAUUACUGGGCGUAAAGCGUGCGCAGGCGGUUUUGUAAGCCAGAUGUGAAAUCCCCGGGCUUAACCUGGGAAUGGCAUUUGGGACUGCAAGGCUCGAGUGCGGCAGAGGAGACUGGAAUUCCUGGUGUAGCAGUGAAAUGCGUAGAUAUCAGGAAGAACACCCGUGGCGAAGGCGGCUCUCUGGGACGGUACUGACGCUGAGGCGCGAAAGCGUGGGGAGCAAACAGG